GGACUAUCUAUGUAGGUACAAGUAACUUAUUGUAUAAUGUCACUGGAUUAAAUUCAGUAAUGUCCUUUUUCACUAAAUGUGGUUAUACAACCUUACAGCAUGUUACAAAGGGAACACAAACAAAAAAGUAAGUUUCACAUUGGACCUUCUUCAGGAGCAGUGCUGACCUAUUUCACUGACCUAUGCUCAACUGCCACUAGGUGGCCCUCUUUUCCAGCUUCCAAGGGCCUACAUUUGGCCUAUGUGGCCUCAGUAUAGGCUCAGAUUUCCUGCUAUGAACUUAAUGAGCCCAGCACUGGCUCUAGCUAUGGUUUGUUCCUUUUUGGGUGGAGUGGAUGGGUGGUUCUUGGAGAAUCUACUACUUUCCCGUGCGUGCAGUGGGAGGCUGUGUUGGAGAAUCUAGCUAUCCCGACUGGCUACACAGAGCCUACCAUAAUUUUUCACUCACAUCUUUAGUAUAAAUCUAAUUGUCUUGGCCUUCUGUAAUAAUACCUUUGAAGAAAUAAGGAUUUAAAAAAAGUUAUUCAUUUAAUAUUCUAAGUAGACCUGCAACAUGGGAACAAUAUUAUUAUUAUUUUUGCAGUUGAGAGGGCUGAAAUCUCGCAGGGUGAUUAAAGCAAGUUUAUUAGCUUCUCCAAAGCCUCAGUUUCCUACUCUGUAAAAUGGAAGUACUUUCCUACUGCUUUGUGAGUAUUUAAACGGAUGUAAUUUGGGAAGCGCCCAGCACUUUGUCUACUACUGGCACAGGGUUUUAAAGCCACCCAGAGGCCGAGGCGUCAACACUCCGUUUCCCUGCCGGUGCUCCUUCCAGCCCCUGGUGUGGUCGAUUUGGCAGGGGUGGAGCGCCAGGCGCGUGCAGAGCCGGGCGGACCCGCCCCUCGGGCCAAGGCCGGGCGGGAGGCGGAGCUCGUACUCAGGAGCCGCCUCCCGGGCGGCCGGGGCGGUCCCCGAGCCGCUUUCCGCGGCCUCGCGUUUCCCUGGGCAGUACUAGCUCGCUGCGGCCGCAUCUGGGAAACGCUUGCACAUGUUUUGGGAACUAACCUUCUCUUUGAAGAUCUUUUAUUCAGUGGAAACAUCCAAAGCAAGUCAGUGAUGGUUUUCUGUUCUUUGUUUUAAGCCAUCAAUGAACAGUGGUUUCUAAAACCUGGCUGCAUGUCUCAGAGUUACCUAGGUUCUUGUUAAAAAUAUCUUUUUUUUUUUUUUUUUUUUUUUUGAGACAGAGUCUGGCUCUGUGGCCCAGGCUGGAGUGCAGUGGCACGAUUUCAGCUCGCUGCAACCUACACCUCCCAGGUUCAAGCCAUUCUCCAACCUCAGCCUCCCAAGUAGCUGGGACUACAGGCCCAGGCCACUACUCCCAGUUAAUUUUUAUGUUUUUAGUAGGUGGGGUUGCACCAUGAUGGCCAGGCUGGUCUGGAACUCCUGACCCCAAGUGAUCCGUUUGCCUCGGCCUCCCAAAGUGCUGGGAUUACAGGUGUGAGCCAUGGGUCCAGGCAAAAAUAUCAGUUUCUUGACCCCACUUGAGGCCUUUGAAAUAAAAAUCUCUGGGGCUGCAGCCUGGGAAUAGGCAUUUCAAACAGAGACCCCAGGGUUCUCUGGCACUGAAGAUAACUAACAGCCUCUGAAGUUUUUCUUUGAGAUUGGGGCUUUUUGGCCUAUUUAGAACAGGUUUUCUUAAAGGUUAUGUGAAUGAAUUGUCAA
ensembl:lncRNA